AGAUGAAGCCUUUACUUUAAUUUUGUGCUAAGCAAGUGAUGGGAGGUACCGUGAAAGUGAAAAUGAAAAUUUUUGUGAACAUUUACUGCAAAACCAAAGUUUAAAUUGGAUGUUUGGUGCAUUAAACGAUGGGUGGUUUUAGUGCACUGUAAUACGUUCCAUUCGAUGAAGUCAAAUUAUUUAAACUGUUGAGCUUAGUUUGAAAUGUUCUCUAAAAUUUUAGCGGAAUUUGGGGCAAGUGUGCCACUUUAAGCAUUUCAUGUUAUAACUCACUAAAACGUGUUUGUCAAAAGCCGAUUUAAAUCUCAUAACCAUUUUACAUCUAUUUCCUCACUUAUAAAUGAGUUUCACUUGAAAAAAGUGCAAACAAAACUGUUUUUGAAGCGUUUUUAAAAGGGUCUAAAAAGACGUUGUUUUGACGUUGACGGGCAAGAGCGCCACUCGUAUGGGGCAAGACGGCCACCUGGUUAAAAUAAACGUAUUUCUUAGAUAAUUGAAAAUAGUUACGUUUGUGUCUCUAGUGUAUGUAUUCCUACAUGUCUUGAGUCACCAAUGAACCCUUUUUGACCACCAACUGUACCUUAGUAUGGUUUGUUACUGUUCUGUUUUUCUGGGGUGGAAUCCGCUCACAACAGUGCACCAUUCCGCAGCACGCUACAACAAUGUUUACAUUUUAGACAGCACGCACCUAUGAAAGAUGGUGACACACUUGCCCCAGAUGGAGGUGGCUCUUUUGCUCCAAAAGUUGUAACUUUUUUUGAAAUUAGAUUUUUCAGUGACAAAACGAAAGUUUUUUUCAACUAACCCCAAAACAAAAUUUCACGUUUUCUCAGGUUAACGGUGGUGUAAAUAUUUUCUCGGUUGAUUGUUCCAAUGAUUUUUGAGAGCUUAUUUUGUUUGAUUAAAAGAUUUUAAUAUUCUGCUCAAUUUUGAAACGCAACAUAAAUCAGUUCAAAACAAUUGGAAAUAUCGAUUGAUCUAUAUGAAUGAUCUAUAUGAUCUAUAUUCGGCUCAAUAUACCUAGUCAUUGGAACGCAACAAACUGUGUACACAAUUGAUCAUUUAACUAAAGUUUUUUAUGGAAAAAAUGCUUGGUGGCACUCUUGCCCCUAUGGCACACUUGCCCCAAAUUCCGCUAUUGGUGGUUUUCUGUUUCGUAGCGGUUAAAAUUUCCAUUACAGUGGAACCCCUCAUAACGAGUACCUCUUACUAAGAGCUUUUCCCAUAACUAGCCAAUCUAAAUGCUCAACAAAUGCAUUUUUAAAAUCGACUAAAAUCUCGCAUAACGAGCAAUGCCAUUUGAUUGCAGGAUGCGUUUUUGAUUGUCAGAUGUCGUGAUGUGAAAUCCAAAUCACGAUAGGUUAACAUUGAGCAUUUCUUUAAUUUAGAUUAUCGCUCAGGCAACAUGAUUCGAUACUUGUUUGUAUUGCCAGAAGGAGAAAUGUCGCAUCAUUGUAGGAUGUAGUGUGUGGUCUAUUGACGAGUGUGGCUGCCAAAAUAUUUAUCGUAAUAUUUGAAAAUUAAAUUCGUGCUGAAGAAUGCAGUGGAAACCCUUCAUAAAGCCGUACAACGAGAUUUUCGCAUAACGAGUCAAUCUAAAUGCUCUAUGAAUAGCCCUCUUAACGAAUAAAAUCUCGCAUAACGAGCAAUUGCUCGCAAAACUCUUUUUAAAUCAGAUAGCAGUUCAGUUCAAUUUCAUUGCUCCAGUUCCUUCCGGCUUAUUUGACAAUAUUGGAGGCUCUCUGCGGCUUCGGCAGUGGAAGUGGACAGGAAGUAGAUUUUAGUGUAUAAUGUACCUCGCUGUGUGUUUCACAAGUGUGAAUUGUAUUGAUAAGGGUGUUCUGGCACGAAUUCUUGAUCUACUUGCUCGUGAAGGCGAACUGGAGCUGCAACCCAUGCUUAACGCGGGCUUAAGAAUUGAUCAACCAUUACUGUUACCGCUUGAAGGUGUUCAUAUAGUCAUUAUAGAGUAAUUGGAAGGGAUGAAACUCGUUAUGAGAACCACUGUACUUACCACAAAUGUUCGAUUGUGAUGAUAAAAAAAAUGAUGAAAAAGUUUACCUAACUAUGACUAACAGUUGUGUGUUGCCAACAACCUCUUCCUAAAUAGAAACCGAUAUAGCACAACACAUAUUUAUUUAUUUAUUUAUUUAUUUAUUUAUUUAUUUAUUUAUUAAUUUUUAUUUUACUAAUUGCUCGGCCACGUUGGGUUACAGCAAUAUUGCCGAUAUACAAGCAACGUGUACAAAACAAUAGAAAAUGGCAAUUUCGGGAGAUAUUGAAGAAAAGACUAAACCAAUCGACCAAACAUCGUAAAAAGAAAAUGAUUCAAAAAUAAUUGCAAAGCAAUAUGUUGCCAACGAUAAGUAUUAUGAAGACAUUGGUAAUUUUUUAGGAGCAUGUAUGGCCUUUAUAGCAGCACAUUUGCGAUGCUGGCACCAAUUACAGGGUUUCGCACAAUUUAUUCGGUUUGUAUAAUCCAUAAGGUCGGUUUCCAUAAUUUGUAGUUGUAUAAUCCAUAAGUUGUAGUGUUGGAUAAAUCUGAUUCAGAUUCAUGAAUCAGAGUGAAUCUUUGUUGGACAGAUUCAUGAAUCUCAAAGAUUCGUUGAUCUCUAAAGAUUCAUGGAUCUCACAUUUUCAUGAGUCUCAAAAGAUGCAUAAAACUAGAAAGAACUAUGAAUCUCAUAAGAUUCAUGUAUCUCGAAAGAUGCACGAAUCUCUAAGGAAUCAUAAAUCUCUAAAAAUGCAUAGAGCUUCUUAAUAUUCUUGCCAUAACAACCUACGUGAUCAUGCCAGCCUUAAGAGGCUUUUUAGACUGGUUGGCAUGUUCAAAACAGCAGGAUAAUUUGUUUUGCUACGGACAGAUGGCUCAUGCAAGGCUUGUACCCACGAAAGCCAUUUUGUUAAGUCGUGCGAGUUAGCCACUGUUCCACUUAGGCAUGGGCAAAACGAUUCUUUUCACCGAACGCGAACGAACUAGUUCGCUCACCAAAAAGAACCGAACGUGAACGACGAUUCUUUCGUUCUUUUUUUCAUGGGGUUUUUAUUCACAAAGAACAUUCGUUAUUUUUUUCAUUUACCCACCAUAGAUGCAUACUGUAGCCAAAGAAGUACUCAUUCUGCGGUUGAAACCAAUCAUUUAAAAACAUUAAAUAAAUCAGCCCAUCUGCUGUCUGGUCAACACAAUCUAUCGCAAAACCGACCAAAAACUAGCAUGUAAAAAACUAAUACGAGCAAAAAUGUCUCCAGCAUAUAUUGUACCCUAUGUCUUAUACACACUCAAGGAUUCUAUAAAAAAAAAACUACUUAAACAUGGAUAAACAUGAUGAGCGCAAUCAAUUCAGUUCAGUUCAUUCGCGAACAAUGACUAAUGCGUUUGAACGGGCUCGAUCUAUUGAAUUGUAUAGGUAUAAUUUACACACCAACAGAACACAGAUCGAACACCAGUUCGAACGCGUUCGAUGAAUUCAGUUGUGUAGGUACGAUUUCCACACCAACAGAACACAGAUCGAACACCAGUUCGAACGCGUUCGAUGAAUUCAGUUGUGUAGGUACGAUUUCCACACCAACAGAACACAGAUCGAACACCAGUUCGAACGCGUUCGAUGAAUUCAGUUGUGUAGGUACGAUUUACAUACCAACAGAACACAGAUCGAACACUAACCGAUCAGAUCGAACGCGUUCGAUGAAUUCAGUUGUGUAGGUACGAUUUACACACCAACAGAACACGUAUCGAACACUGCUGAACAAAUUCGACGGCGUUCGAGGAAUUGAGUUGUAUGGGUACGAUUUCAACACCAACAGGGUACAUUUUGAUCUCUGACGACCCGUUCGCACGGUGCGAGAAAGAGCGAGAAAGCAAUAUGAUUUUGCACGUUUCAUUACCACAUUUAUGUGUGCCGUCAAACACU